rnacentral:rRNA from 1 species
GCAGGUGAGAGCUGGAGUGCAAGACAUACAGGUCGAGAAAGGAUGAAAAUCGGACUUAGUGAGCCGGUGGUUCUGCGUGGAGGGGCCAUCGCUCAACGGAUAGAAGCUACCCUGGGGUUAACAGGCUUAUCUCCCCCAAGAGUCUACAUCGACGGGGAGGUUUGUCACCUCGAUGUCGUCUCAUCACAUCCUGGGGCUGUAGUAGGUCCCAAGGGUUGGGCUGUUCGACCAUUAAAGUGGUACGCGAGCGGGGUUCGGGACGUCGUGAGACAGUUCGGUCCCUAGCCGUAGCAGGCGUAAGCAAUUAUAGAAGACCUGUACUUAGUACGAGAGGACCGGGAUGGACGGACCUCUGGUGUACCAGUUGUUCUGCCAAGGGCAGGGCUGGGUAGCUAUGUACGGACUGGAUAAGCG